rnacentral:rRNA from 1 species
CCUACGGGAGGCAGCAGUGGGGGAUAUUGGACAAUGGGGGGAACCCUGAUCCAGCGACGCCGCGUGAGUGAAGAAGUAUUUCGGUAUGUAAAGCUCUGUCAGCAGGGAAGAAAGAAAUGACGGUACCUGACCAAGAAGCCCCGGCUAACUACGUGCCAGCAGCCGCGGAAAUACGUAGGGGGCAAGCGUUAUCCGGAAUUACUGGGUGUAAAGGGAGCGUAGACGGUUAAGUAAGUCUGGAGUGAAAGGCCGGGGCCCAACCCCGGGACUGCUCUGGAAACUAUUGAACUUGAGUGCAGGAGAGGUAAGCGGAAUUCCUAGUGUAGCGGUGAAAUGCGUAGAUAUUAGGAGGAACACCAGUGGCGAAGGCGGCUUACUGGACUGUAACUGACGUUGAGGCUCGAAAGCGUGGGGAGCAAACAGGAUUAGAUACCCGUGUAGUC